CGAGUGCCUCAAGCGUUAUCCGGAAUUACUGGGCGUAAAGGGUGUGUAGGCUGUUUUGUUAGUCUCCUGUUAAAACUUCCGGCUUAACCGGAAAUCUGCAGGGGAAACGGCAAAACUAGAGGAUAGGAGAGGUGAGCAGAACUCAUGGUGUAGGGGUGAAAUCCGUUGAUAUCAUGGGGAAUACCAAAUGCGAAGGCAGCUCACUGGCCUACUCCUGACGCUGAAACACGAAAGCGUGGGUAGCGAACGGGAUUAGAUACCCCGGUAGUCCACGCCCUAAACGAUCUUCUCUUGCUAUUCGGAGUAUCGACCCUCUGAGUGGCGAAGCUAACGCGUUAAGAGAAGCGCCUGGGUAGUACGGCCGCAAGGCUA
rnacentral:rRNA from 1 species